UGGCGCCCGAAUUGUAAUCUAGAGAAGUGUUUUCCGCGCCGGACCGUGCACAAGUUCCCUGGAACGGGGCGUCAUAGAGGGUGAGAAUCCCGUAUAUGGCACGGACUACCGGAGCUCUGUGAUACACUCUCAACGAGUCGAGUUGUUUGGGAAUGCAGCUCAAAAUGGGUGGUAAAUUCCAUCUAAAGCUAAAUAUAGGCGAGAGACCGAUAGCGAACAAGUACCGUGAGGGAAAGAUGAAAAGCACUUUGGAAAGAGAGUGAAACAGUACGUGAAAUUGUUGAAAGGGAAGCGUUUGAAGUCAGUCACGUCUGUCGGGAUUCAGCCUGGCUUCUGCCUGGUGUACUUCCUGGCGGACGGGUCAGCAUCAGUUUCGACCGAGAGAGAAAGGCUUGGGGAAUGUGGCUGUCUUCGGGCAGUGUUAUAGCCCUUGUCGUAUGUCUCGGUUGGGACUGAGGAAUGCAGCGCGCCUUACGGCCGG
rnacentral:rRNA from 1 species